rnacentral:rRNA from 1 species
AUUGAACGCUGGCGGAAUGCUUUACACAUGCAAGUCGAACGGCAGCACGGACUUCGGUCUGGUGGCGAGUGGCGAACGGGUGAGUAAUGUAUCGGAACGCGCCCAGUCGUGGGGGAUAACGUAGUGAAAAUUACGCUAAUACCGCAUACGAUCUAUGGAUGAAAGCGGGGGAUCGCAAGACCUCGCGCGAUUGGAGCGGCCGAUAUCAGAUUAGGUAGUUGGUGGGGCAAAGGCCCACCAAGCCAACGAUCUGUAGCUGGUCUGAGAGGACGACCAGCCACACUGGAACUGAGACACGGUCCAGACUCCUACGGGAGGCAGCAGUGGGGAAUUUUGGACAAUGGGCGAAAGCCUGAUCCAGCCAUUCCGCGUGCAGGAUGAAGGCCCUCGGGUUGUAAACUGCUUUUGUACGGAACGAAAAGGUUUCUACUAAUACUAGGAGCUCAUGACGGUACUGUAAGAAUAAGCACCGGCUAACUACGUGCCAGCAGCCGCCGUAA